rnacentral:rRNA from 2 species
GGGCUGGACCUCUCGGGGUUACAGCCUUGCUGAAUUAUUCACCCUUGUCUUUUGCGUACUUCUUGUUUCCUUGGUGGGUUCGCCCACCACUAGGACAAACAUAAACCUUUUGUAAUUGCAAUCAGCGUCAGUAACAAAUUAAUAAUUACAACUUUCAACAACGGAUCUCUUGGUUCUGGCAUCGAUGAAGAACGCAGCGAAAUGCGAUAAGUAGUGUGAAUUGCAGAAUUCAGUGAAUCAUCGAAUCUUUGAACGCACAUUGCGCCCUUUGGUAUUCCAAAGGGCAUGCCUGUUCGAGCGUCAUUUGUACCCUCAAGCUUUGCUUGGUGUUGGGCGUCUUGUCUCUAGCUUUGCUGGAGACUCGCCUUAAAGUAAUUGGCAGCCGGCCUACUGGUUUCGGAGCGCAGCACAAGUCGCACUCUCUAUCAGCAAAGGUCUAGCAUCCAUUAAGCCUUUUUUUCAACUUUUGACCUCGGAUCAGGUAGGGAUACCCGCUGAACUUAAGCAUAUCAA